rnacentral:rRNA from 1 species
AGCGAACGCUAGCGGCGGGCUUAACACAUGCAAGUCGAACGGUAACAGGCCUUCGGGCGCUGACGAGUGGCGGACGGGUGAGUAACGCGUAGGAAUCUGCCUCAUAGUGGGGGACAACGUGGGGGAAACUCACGCUAAUACCGCAUACGCCCUACGGGGGAAAGCGGGGGAUCUUCGGACCUCGCGCUAUGAGAUGAGCCUGCGUUAGAUUAGCUAGUUGGUAGGGUAAAGGCCUACCAAGGCGACGAUCUAUAGCUGGUCUGAGAGGACGAUCAGCCACACUGGGACUGAGACACGGCCCAGACUCCUACGGGAGGCAGCAGUGGGGAAUAUUGGACAAUGGGCGCAAGCCUGAUCCAGCAAUACCGCGUGUGUGAAGAAGGCCUUA